AGGACGAACGCUGGCGGCGUGCUUAACACAUGCAAGUCGAACGGAAAGGCCCGCUUGCGGGUACUCGAGUGGCGAACGGGUGAGUAACACGUGGGCAACCUGCCCUCAGCUUCGGGAUAACACUUGGAAACAGGUGCUAAUACCGGAUAAUAACCUUUCAUCGCAUGGUGUGGGGUUCAAAGUUUUUCGGCUGGGGAUGGGCCCGCGGCCUAUCAGCUUGUUGGUGGGGUAAUGGCCUACCAAGGCGACGACGGGUAGCCGGCCUGAGAGGGCGACCGGCCACACUGGGACUGAGACACGGCCCAGACUCCUACGGGAGGCAGCAGUGGGGAAUAUUGCGCAAUGGGCGGAAGCCUGACGCAGCGACGCCGCGUGAGGGAUGACGGCCUUCGGGUUGUAAACCGUCUUUCAGCUCUGACGAAGCGCAAGUGACGGUAGGAGCAGAAGAAGCACCGGCCAACUACGUGCCAGCAGCCGC
rnacentral:rRNA from 1 species